AGGACGGGGUGGCUGCAAAGCCGGCUCUCGACAGGAGGUCCCCAACACCAGGGGUGUCACGGGACAGGAGGAGAUGCGGCAGGGCCAAGCAGGGCCCUGAUCCCUCCCACGCACGGCACGGCGAUGACCGCGAUGGUAGAAACUGUCAGGCAGUGUGAAGCAGGAGCGGAGACAGUGCUAUCAAUUGUUGCUAUGGUGAUAUCUGUGGAGAUUGUGCGACGACUGAGCAGUGCGUACUUUGAAGAGAGGCGGAAGAAAAGCUCACAGACUGCCCCACUGUCGUGAAUCACCUGUGCCCCACGCUCAGGGGCUCACUUCCUGUGGUUGCCCAUGGCCUGCCCAUGAAAUACAAAGUUUAGAUGCUCUCAUUUCCAGCCCGAGCUGUCUUUCCAUGUGGUCAGCAGUAAGGCUGUAUUCGGUGCUUCUGUGUUCUUUCAGACAGCACCAGCCCCUCCGUCCACCAGAGAGCCCAGCUCCGAGGGCCCCCAGCACCCAGGCACAAAGAGGGACUGAACCCAUCUCAAGGACCAUCGAGAGGAUUAAAUGAAAUGAUUUGUGUGAAGAGCACUCGGUGAGCCCCCUCCGUGUCGCCGAACAGUGCGCCAGGUCUUCGGCCGAGACUGCGCUCACAGCCGCCCCUGUCCUGCCUCACCCCUGGGCACAGAGGACCCCAGCUGAGUGGAGGCCCUGGCGCCGGCCCACCCGCAGGAAGGGUCUUCGCUUCCGGAGAGCUGCAGGUCUCCCUGCAGAGGUGGGCAGCGACUGUGCCGGGCCCAAUGGACAGGGCUUUGCGCUGCGGUGCCAGGGAGCGCUCUGUGCACAGCACACGCUCUGUCCAGCACAAAUGCUUUCCAGCUCUUUGUCCCGUCCGGCAGCCACUGCCUGGAGCACUGGUAGUGCACAUGGAGAAAUUCAAAAGCACCUGCCGCAUUACUGUAGAAUCACUUCCCAAACUGCAGACAGUCGUAGUGGAAGGUGGAUUGUUGUUGUUGUUGUUGUUGUUUUUUCUUUUUGAGGGAGCGCAAAUGAUUUAGUGCUAGCAUAAUGAAUUACAGGAUUGAGUGAGACCCAGAGCCAUUUGUCAUCAAAA